rnacentral:tRNA from 1 species
GGGGUUGUGGCUCAGUGGUAGAGUGCUCGCCUAGCACAUGUGAGGCACUGGGUUCGAUCCUCAGCACCACA